GCUAGACCUUCAGAACUGUUCCCUGAAGGAUCCGAACCUUUUCCCAGCUUAUACUGCUGUCAUCAUAGACCUUCAAGCAAACCCUCUCAAGGAUGACUUGACCAGCACCUUCCAUGGAUUUACUCAGCUGCAGACUCUGGAUCGAACCCAUGGCUUUGCCUGUUGUUGAAUGUUUGUUCUAUCACCGAGCUACACCCCAACCUCUUCAGCUGUGCAUUUAUGAUCAUGUCUGUUGUCUUCAGGAUACUACCACAAGAUGUCCACUGUCCUGGAGGUAUUAAUGCCUGGGACAGUGUUACUUCUUUCAUGGACAAGCAGAUUUGCCAAGGGCAAAAGGACCUUUGUAAUAGCACCGGAAGCCCAGAAAUGUGUCCUGAGAAUGGGUCUUGUGCGUCUGAUGGUCCAGGUCUUUUGCAAUGCGUUUGUGCCGAUGGUUUCCAUGGAUACAAGUGUAUGAGGCAGGGCUCAUUUUCACUGCUCAUGUUCUUUGGGAUUCUGGGAUCCACCACGCUAGCCAUCUCCAUUCUACUUUGGGGAACCCAGCGCCGGAAGGCCAAGGCUUCAUGAAUCACACAAGACUUCCAGCUCACCUGACUGAGCACCCUGUCGAUCGAGUCCCGGUCGCGUCGCAGCCAGGAAGACUUUACUUCGUUGACAAACAGUACAGGCCAGUGAGCGACCGGCUUAAGGCUGAAGCGGCCUUUGAUAAUGAAAGAAGAUGUCAAAUUGCACCGCCUCGGGGGUCUUGUGGACACUUGGUUCUGGAGUGGACUAGUACUAAUUUGUAUUAUUGACAACAAUAAACACCUUUUUCCCCAGUG
rnacentral:lncRNA from 1 species